CAGUCGCCGCGGUAAUACGAGGGGGGCAAGCGUUGUUCGGAAUUAUUGGGCGUAAAGGGUGCGUAGGCGGUUUGAUAAGUCAUCUGUGAAAUCUCUGGGCUCAACCCAGAGUCUGCAGGCGAAGCUGUCGAGCUUGAGUAUUGGAGAGGUGAGUGGAAUCUCCGGUGUAGCGGUGAAAUGCGUAGAUAUCGGAAGGAACACCUGUGGCGAAAGCGGCUCACUGGACAAUUACUGACGCUGAUGCACGAAAGCUAGGGGAGCAAACAGGAUUAGAUACCCCGGUAGUCCCUGUCUCUUAUAC
rnacentral:rRNA from 1 species